GGGAGUAAAGCGGCGGACGGGUGAGUAACGCGUAGGAAUCUACCUGGUAGUGGGGGACAACUUGGGGAAACUCAAGCUAAUACCGCAUACGCCCUAAGGGGGAAAGCGGGGGACCUUCGGGCCUCGCGCUAUCGGAUGAGCCUGCGUAGGAUUAGCUAGUUGGUGGGGUAAAGGCCCACCAAGGCGACGAUCCUUAGCUGGUCUGAGAGGAUGAUCAGCCACACUGGAACUGAGACACGGUCCAGACUCCUACGGGAGGCAGCAGUGGGGAAUAUUGCGCAAUGGGCGAAAGCCUGACGCAGCCAUGCCGCGUGUGUGAAGAAGGCCUUCGGGUUGUAAAGCACUUUCAGUUGUGAGGAAAGGAGUGUAGUUAAUAGCUGCAUUCUAUGACGUUAGCAACAGAAGAAGCACCGGCUAACUCCGUGCCAGCAGCCGCGGUAAUACGGAGGGUGCGAGCGUUAAUCGGAAUUACUGGGCGUAAAGCGUGCGUAGGCGGUUUGUUAAGCAAGAUGUGAAAGCCCAGGGCUCAACCUUGGAACUGCAUUUUGAACUGGCAAACUAGAGUACUGUAGAGGGUGGUGGAAUUUCCAGUGUAGCGGUGAAAUGCGUAGAGAUUGGAAGGAACAUCAGUGGCGAAGGCGGCCACCUGGACAGAUACUGACGCUGAGGCACGAAAGCGUGGGGAGCAAACAGGAUUAU
rnacentral:rRNA from 1 species